rnacentral:rRNA from 1 species
GAUGAACGCUAGCUACAGGCUUAACACAUGCAAGUCGUGGGGCAGCACAGUGUAGCAAUACACGGGUGGCGACCGGCGCACGGGUGCGUAACGCGUAUCCAACCUUCCCGAUACUCUUGGAUAGCCUUCCGAAAGGGAGAUUAAUACAAGAUGGUGUUUCACUUUCGCAUGUUAUUGAAACUAAAGAUUUAUCGGUAUCGGAUGGGGAUGCGUGACAUUAGAUAGUAGGCGGGGUAACGGCCCACCUAGUCUACGAUGUCUAGGGGUUCUGAGAGGAAGGUCCCCCACACUGGAACUGAGACACGGUCCAGACUCCUACGGGAGGCAGCAGUGAGGAAUAUUGGUCGAUGGUCGGAAGACUGAACCAGCCAAGUAGCGUGAAGGAUGAAGGUUCUAUGGAUUGUAAACUUCUUUUAUACGGGAAUAAAACCUCCCACGUGUGGGAGCUUGUAUGUACCGUAUGAAUAAGCAUCGGCUAACUCCGUGCCAGCCGCCGCUGUAAAAC